rnacentral:rRNA from 1 species
AUGGCCACGGCCAACAACUCCCCGGCCGUCGUUAAUAACCAUGGCCACAUCCUACCCGCGACGUCGUCCAGAUCCUCCACGGAGAGCUUCACCGCCACCCACGAUUUCGAGGUGGCCAGUUACCCGCUGCUCGACGGCUUGGGCGUCGGCAAGUACAUCAACUCCUGUGUCUUCAGCGUCGGUGGCUACGACUGGACUAUCAAAUUCUACCCAGAUGGUUCAUCGGUCAACUGUGCCGGUAACACUUCAUCCUUUUUGUAUUGUGUCAACCAACAGGAAGGUGUGAGGGCUAAGUUCACCUUGAACAUGCUGAAAAAAGAGGGCAAAGUGCUAACAAGACACGGUUCGUUGAACCACACCUUCUCUCCGCCAACUUAUGAUUUUGGUUAUCGUAAAUUUGUCGAAAAAUCAAGGCUGCUGAAAUCAUCGUCGUCCAAGGCAAACAAUGGCUACUUCAUUAUACGGUGUGUUCUUACCGUGAUAAGAGAACCACGGACCGAGGUCAAGAGGAACCUUCUUGUGGUUCCGCAGCCAAACCUGCAAGACCAUCUCGAGCAGAUGUGGAAGGAAGGACAAGGAGCAGAUGUGACAUUCAGUGUGUCUGGCCAGUUGUUCAGCGCUCACAGAUACUUGUUAGCUGCACGGUCUCCGGUCUUCAAGGCGGAGCUCUUUGGGCCUAUGAAGGAGAGCGCGGCAGAGAGCAUCAAGAUCUACGACGUCGAGCCACCAAUCUUCGAGGCGCUUCUUCACUUCAUAUACACGGAUUCCCUCCAAGAUGAUGGAGACAACAAAGAUGAAACUGAAAAAAUGCAGCACUUGCUAGUUGCGGCGGAUCGAUAUGGAUUGGAGAGACUAAGAAUUAUGUGCGAAGACAGGCUGUGUGAUAGCAUUGAGGUGGAAACAGUUGCGACCAUGCUGGUUCUGGCGGAGCAGCACCAUUGCGGCGAUCUCAAAAAGGCCUGCAUUGAGUUCAUGACCUCACAAAACAGGCUAGGAAAUAUCGUGGCAACGGAUGGAUUCAAGCAUCUGAUGGCAAGCUGCCCUUUGCUCACAAAGGAUAUCUUAGACAAGGUGUCCUGUGUCUUGAGUGGAAAGUCUCGUUUGUCUAGAAAUUAA